rnacentral:lncRNA from 1 species
UAAAAACAAACUAGUUCUACAAUUUAAUAAACAACAAUGCAAUAGAAAUCUGAAGACAAAAAAUGAAAGAUGACAAGAUCUAAAUGGGCACAACUUUAAAUGUGCAUUGAUUGAUAGUUAUACAUGUUAUAGUUGUUAACUUCUACAUGAAGCUCGGUCUCUGGUGCCAGGAUAGUUGUCUCAUUGCAAUGAUAUACCCCAUCUUCUUAUUUUUAUAAAACAGCAAAGCUAAAUAGAGAAAUGAAUUCAUUUACUGCAAAACCUGUUGCAAAUUUCAUGAAUUUAAACUCUUAAAAUCAAACCAUAGACAUUAUAAAUGUAAAGGCAUGUUCAUAUUAAACAGUUGGAUUUAGAAAUGUGCAAGUGGCUUCCAUUAUUAUAAUCAAAGCA